rnacentral:lncRNA from 1 species
UGGUAAAACUCUAAAUGACAUAUUUGAUGGUGGAAAAAAUAUUAAAUUAUGCUUCCCAAAAAUUAUCUUUUCUAUAUUAUUUUGUUCUGUAAUGGAUUGUCGCUUAAAAUGAAGUUACCUAAUACUGUCUGCAAGUAUUUGUCUGAGGGUGAGGCUUGAACGCCUUUUCCCUUGUCUUCAGUCUUGGGAACUGUUGGUCUCAUUCUGUACAUGUAAAAUAUUCUUAUUAAUUGGCAAUAAUUUUUAACCUACUUAAAUGGUCUGCUAAAUUAU